UACGGAGGGUGCAAGCGUUAUCCGGAUUCACUGGGCUUAAAGGGUGCGUAGGUGGGCAAGUAAGUCAGUGGUGAAAUCUCCGGGCUUAACCCGGAAACUGCCAUUGAUACUAUUUGUCUUGAAUACUGUGGAGGUCAGCGGAAUAUGUCAUGUAGCGGUGAAAUGCUUAGAUAUGACAUAGAACACCAAUGGCGAAGGCAGCUGGCUAGACAAAUACUGACACUGAGGCACGAAAGCGUGGGGAGCAAACAGG
rnacentral:rRNA from 1 species